UUUUUUAUUCUUUUAUAAACCUGUCUGUUUCUCUGUUGUUGUGGUUUCAUUUUCUCAAUCCAGAGUUUCUAACUCCUUUGCUUCAGGUUAUCAGAAACCAUCUUCGACAGGCAAUCAAACAGGUUUCUUUUUUUUGCAUUUGCAAUGGUAUGGCAAAAUUAAUACACCUUGAGUUUCAGUCUCUGAUUUAUUUGUUUUGUGGCUUUGGUUUAUUGUUUAACUUGGCUUUAGUUUACCUAUUAGCUUAUGUUCAUAGCUUUAUCUUCUAUGUAGUACUUUUGUAUUUCUGCGAAACCUUUCUCCCUCCAACAAAGAAAAAGUGGAAAUCUAGAUUUAGUGUUCGAUAUUUCAGUUCAUUAAAAUGAUUUCAUAUCAUUUCUUUAGAUAGAUAGUUUCGAUUCAGAUCAUUGAGACUCAAGUUCUUAUUUCAAACAUGUUUCAAAUUAAUUUUGGGGAAUUUUUUCUAAUAACGAUCAAUUUAUAAGGGGGUUCGCUCUAAAUUUUUUGCGGAUUGAAUAUUUCGAAAUGAUAUGAGAUGCCCAAAAACAACCUUAUGAGAUGGUUGCUUGAUGCACUAGGCAGGUUUCAGCACUUUUAAGGUAAGAAGGGGGAGAACUGGUAUGAACUCUAAUGUUGCCAUUCAUCGAUUCAUUUAAGAUUUCACCAAACGUAAUUUUUUAAUAUUCACUUUAUCCCUGGCAAACAUUCGAGGUCUGAACGGUCAGAGACUGAGGUCUCGGUGUUUUGUUUAGUUACUCCCGCUUGUUACAUUAUUUUAAUUUAUUGACUAAUUAAAUAAAAUUUUGCCAAACCAUUGUAAGUGUCGUUGUGUUGGGUUCUGUAGGAAGUAAAUCUAGCAAUUGAGUAAUUUUUAAAAACCAAAUGUUUUUCUAGUAGAUUCAAAUUAUCAAUUCUUUAAGAUAUUAGAUCCUAUAAGUUGAUAAUGGUAGAGAAAAACAUUUCGGAAGUUCACUUUGAUUAACCUAGUCGAAAAUUGUUAGGUAUACGUUCCUGAAGAUAAUGUUGGCCUUCUAUUUCAUGUACCUUCCAAUUUUUCGGGUCUAACACUAAUUCAAUUGUGCAUGCUUCUCAUUUCAUUUUGUACAGUUAUACUAUUUUCGAGUCACAUACUACAAUUUAGUAUGUGACUUAUUUUUUCAGUGUUUGAAUUUUCCGUCCUAACCUUGUUUGCAAGUUUGCAAGCAUGGUAGUUUUCGAGAUUGGAUAUAUUCAAUUUUGGAUGUAUCCUCGUCGUUUUCUGUAGUUGCAUGUAUUUACAUGUAACGAGGUAAUUGUUGGUGAAAUGAAGUGAACCGAUUUUUUGGAAAUUUGAUAUUUAUCAAAAUUCCACGAUUAUAACAUGUCUGAUAUCGUAAACUUUACGAGAUCUGCAUGAAAUUUUUUUCUUAAAUCUUUCCACUUCAAUGAUAUAUUUUUAUUUUUGAAGUAUGAGAGAUAUUGCUGAAUUCAAUUCGACUUUCGGAACUUCAAACCAAGUAUUCAAGGAUGUGGAAAUACUUGUCAAUUCUUCUCGAUGUCAUUUAGAUAUUCAUUUGAUCAGGAGAGAAUUGACAAGUGUUUAAAUUUUUUACAAUUUGAACUUUUGGUUUGAAAUUGCCACGCUGCUGUGUGAGGAGGAACCAUGUUUUGAUAGGUGAGUAUAUUGGUGAGUAUUGAGGGAGUUUUCUUCCCACUUUGUGAAAGUUCAUCGAUUUCUGCAUUUCAAGUUUCGUAAUAUUUUUUUGUGGCACUACCAUUGUUUCUUUCUGAAACGAGCAAAGAUUUGCCGUUACGGAUCCGAAGGAAUGUUGAGACCUCAAAAAAAGUAUUAAGAAUCGAGAUAUACCUUUUUAGGGAGUGUUUUUGAAUUCUUAAACAUUCCUUUUCCAAUUCAUGAAUAUUCGGCGAAACAUUGCAUUGCAAUAUUUUUUGUAAUGUGAUAUGGUGAAUGAAAUCUAUUAUAUUUCAAAUGUGAUUUGGGUCUAGUCGAGUUAGCGUUGAAAUUCAGCUUAAUUACUUUUUACGUCUCAUCAAUUGAUGACUUGGUUUGUGAGUAUAAUUGGUAAGUUGACUUCAGCGUCGAGUAUGACUAUAGGAGGCCAACAGACAAUUAAAUUCACGUUUCUUAGCUGACGAAACGGCUUGUCACUUCCUGAAUGUUGCAUGCCAAACUUUUGUACCUGCAGUAUUCUAGAAAAUGACAGCAUGUUCUAACAGGUAGCGUCAUAUGACGGUUGACAUUUUAUCUUCCGUGAUAUGUCGCACUUUGUCUUUGCAACAUUUGUUUUUCGAUGUGCAUGGAUAAAAGCUUGAAACGUGAUUUAUUUAUUUAUUUUUUGACUGUUGGCAUUUCCUAGUCUGGUUUGUUGCAGUUCCAUCUCUCAUGUGUCCUAAGUGUGGUCGAAAAUACUCCGUACCAUCGACGCUAGAACGCCACCUAAAGUACGAGUGUGGUGUUGCUAAACAGUUCGAAUGUGGCGUUUGCCAUCGAAGGUUUUCAAGAAGAGAUAUACUCCGUUGUCAUCAGAAAACUCUAGCUCAUUAGCAUAAGUAUGUGUUGGGUGCGCGUAGUGUGAACAUCGAUCGUCAGAAUUUAAAUCUAACUUUGCUUCAAUUUUAUCUAACAUGCACCGUCUCCAAGUGGGAAGGUGUGUGGUUAGAUGAAGCUCAGUUUUUCGAAUAGUGGCCUGAUUCUAACGCUGAUUGACAACGAUACUUUUCUUGUCAACUGCGGUAGAAUCAGGUUGGGUGUGGAGGUGGGACUAUUCGAAUUUUUCUCUUUUUUUUUUUAAAUCCACCGGUGGUAAAAUUUCCUGAGCUCUUUUUCUACCCUUUCCACAAUUUUCCCUAGUAUCUCCUAGUAGCCGCCAGCCAAGCAGUGGAUGGUAUGGUUUGGACUGCCAAGCAGCUAGCUUCAGGGUGGCUUUCCAGCCAAUAAGAGGUCUCGUCCUCCCAUGAUAGUCGUUGGCCAACGUCAAAUACAUUAAAAAAAUGUAGAAAAAAACGAAUAAAGUUGAAAUUUUA